rnacentral:lncRNA from 1 species
CCACCAAUUAAAUCUCCUUCUCAAAUACUCUCUUAAUGAAAAACCUAAAUUAAAUGCGAAUCUUGUAUUAUUAUUACAAAAACUGAAAAAGAGUUGUAUUAUAGAUUAAACACAUGAUGAUGACCAAAUUUAACAUACACAAUCUCGCCGUCGAUUUAUCUAAUUACGGCGGCGAUUAGGGUGUGACGCCGCAGUAGAUCUGGAGAAGAUCUUCGCUGGAUUUCUUGAGAGAAUUGAUGUACGACUCGUAGAAGCGUAAGAGGCCGUCGUGCUCGAAAGGAUUGUAGCGGAGGGGAUGUUGGUCAUCGACGAGCUCCUCCGGCGUACGGAUCGUUCCUUUGUGGAAGGAGAAAAACCCUAAAGAGUAUCGAAUCUCAUCUGCACUCAUCACUACCUUGUGGUGUUUCGACUAAUCGGAUUUGGUUUAGAGCUCACCGUGAGACCCAUGCCGGAGAGAACGACGAAUCUUGUUGGGGACGGGUUAAACCCGACCCAUUGGCCGGUCAUGGUUUUCAACUGGAGACCUCCGACGUGGUUCUGGUGGAGGAUACUCAUGAAGCUCUUAUCAGUGUGUGACACGAAACCAGUGUUUGCUUCACCGUUUUGCUGUCUCCUGUAACUCAGCAUCCUCAACAGGUAUCGAGUUGACUCGGAGUGACUCACAGAAUGCUUCUUCUCAUCCAUUCCAUAGCUUUCAUACAACAUCCUCAUCACCGUCUGGUCUAGCUCCGCCAUUGUCAUUGCAUACAUAUGUGUGGUUUGACUGCAAAUCAUCUGAGAUGUGACAAGAACGACAUAGAUGAAAUGAAAGAAAGUCUUUAUGUGUGUGUUUUUACCAGAAGGGAUCGUUUCCCUGUGGCCAGAGUAGUUUAGAGAAGUCUUUGCAAGCUUGAAGCUCGGUUGCAUAAUCGAUCCCCAAGCUCUCAUGGAUCCGGUAAUCGUCAACUACCAUAGACAUGUAGCCAUGGGACGCCUUGUGGUUCUCGUUCUUGAUUUUGAUUUGGUCUGGGAGAUAAUACAUCUCCUUCAUGCCGGCCAGCAAGUUGUCCCUGAGGUCAGAUGAGACGCCACUGAACUCUGCCACAAACCAACCCUGCCCCUCCAUGGCUCUUCUGACAUCGUCCCUGGUCGUGAUCCAGUGACUCGUGCCUCGCACUAGUUUAUCGCUGGAGAAGUCGAGGAUAGGUAAGCAUUGCUCUUCAUGUGAGUCCAUUGGACUGGAUAGCCAAAAGGUCAGGUGAUGAUGAUGUAUAUAGAGAUCACUCUAGCAUUGCAUUUAUAGAAACAUGUAAACCAGUAGUUGUCAAAGUCAAUUGUACAUUCACAGUGGAUUCGGGAUUCGAUUCUUUAUAGAAAGGACAAUACUUGGGAGAGAUCCAGUUUUGGCUCUUUUAUGCGUCAGCCUUAUGAUUUUCUUUAGUUAAAAGGUUUGUCAAUAUUAGUCCUUAAUCAUACCUGAUUAUUAUAAUCUUAAGCACAAAGUUGAGCAAUGAAAACAUUGAUUAAUGGUUUCACAUCUCAAUACACUCAAUGAAACAGGGCACCAACCCCUAUGAGCGCAGAUGGAAUCGAAGACAUAAGAUGCACUCGCAGCUGCCCGCCAUUUCGUCAUAAGUACUUCUCCAUCAAGUCAUUUUGGCAAGUCCAUCUUAGACAUCACGAGGAGCGGCUUCGGAAUCGACCUGCGACUCAUCACUUGACCGGGAAAACAGAGUUACUGAAGAACAGUCUAACGUUCUUAGCUUCAGUAACAAGUAAAGAACAACUCCACAACCAAAUCCUAAGGCGGCACUCGAGCCAGUCAUCGACACAGCGGCGCAGACCAGCAUGAUGAAGGAAUCUUCUUUGGAGUUCAUGUCUUUGGAAGCCAUUGCCAGUUCGAUUCCCGCGAAUAGCAACAGAACCCCUAAAAUUCCAAUCGGAAACUGACUCAGAAUCCUUACAAAGGAGUUUCCAAACACCAGACCCACAAUCAGUUUCCCGAUUCCGAGAAAAAUAACGGAUAAUCCACUCCUUGCCCCAAACCGAUACUGACCAGCUAACCCACCAGCACCGUGACAGACGGGCAUAGCGCCAAACCAGCACCCUAUUAAGUUCAUCACCCCAACGCUGAUGGAGACUGUAGUCGCAGAGAGUUCCUUGUCAAACAAGUCAUUGGAUAAUUUACAAACUGCGAUCACUGAGUUCAGUACAGAGAGUGGAAUCUGAGGAAUCGCCGCCCUCAGAAACCCGAUUUUCCAAUCAUCCCAACUGAUUCUCAGAAUGUGGAACUUCGAGGGACCGAAUUUAAGGUCUUUGAAAAUGGAUGGAUCACGUAUGAAACAGAGCACUAACCCGAGUGCGAACACGAUCAGCGCAGAUGGAAUCGAAGACAGAAGACGCAGUCUCCUCCGGCGAGACUGGCUUUCGUUGCUGGAAGUCUCGGCGAGAUCUCCAUCUUCAGCUUCUCUGUCGUUGCCAGAGCCGGUGGACAAAAUGAUGAAGAGCAGAGCAGCUAGAGCCAAGAUAAGGCCGUCGAGGCCAAGCCAAAUACGAGGAGAAGAAGAGGGUUUGAGAGUGGCAGUAUCGUAAUUAAACCUGACGUAUUUGAUGGCGGUGAAGGCGAACUGAAGACCUUGAGAAAGCUGGACGCCGCGUACAACUGGGAGAGGGAUGAUGUUGUAGAGGAAAGACAUAGCUCCGGUGGCGCCAAGGAGGAGGAGCGUGGCGGCAGUGGAUGCACCAGCGGCGGCAAUCUGAGAAGGAGUUAGAUGCGGGGAUUCGGAGACAGCGACAGCGGCGAUGGAUUUCAUGGGCUGGACGGGCAUAGGGAUGUCAAAGAGGAGACCGGUGGCGAUGUUGUAGAAACCAGUGAAGAUGAGAGUGGUGGAGAGAUCAAGAUUGGAGACUAGAGUUAGUGUAAGGACGAUGGGGAUGAAGGUGCCGAGAUCACCGACAGCGCCGGAGAGUUCAGAAGAAAGAGGGUUUUUGAGGCGGAGACGGCGACGGAGCCACCCGCAUCUGCUGCGAUCACCGGGGAGCAGAGGAGUUGUAGUUGUCUCCAUGAUUGGAUCUAAAGUCAAAGCUCUCUUUCUCUCUGUUGGUUGACAAUUCUAUUUGAUAAGAAAGAUAAAAAGGAUUGGGAAUCCCCGGGGAAGUUGGAUAAAAGACGGCUUUUCAGACACUGGACGAGUCCAAUGUCCUAACGACGUGCAAAUAUCAACCAUCUUGUAUCUAAAAUAAAUAAUUUAUUGAAUUUCCCGGGACCAUGUGAAAAUAUUGUUACAACAGUACAACUACCUGCUGUUUUUUUUUUUCGC